AGUGAACGCUGGCGGUAGGCCUAACACAUGCAAGUCGAACGGCAGCGCAGUAAGAGCUUGCUCUUACGGGUGGCGAGUGGCGGACGGGUGAGGAAUACAUCGGAAUCUACUUUUUCGUGGGGGAUAACGUAGGGAAACUUACGCUAAUACCGCAUACGACCUACGGGUGAAAGCAGGGGAUCUUCGGACCUUGCGCGAUUGAAUGAGCCGAUGUCGGAUUAGCUAGUUGGCGGGGUAAAGGCCCACCAAGGCGACGAUCCGUAGCUGGUCUGAGAGGAUGAUCAGCCACACUGGAACUGAGACACGGUCCAGACUCCUACGGGAGGCAGCAGUGGGGAAUAUUGGACAAUGGGCGCAAGCCUGAUCCAGCCAUACCGCGUGGGUGAAGAAGGCCUUCGGGUUGUAAAGCCCUUUUGUUGGGAAAGAAAGGCAGCAGGUUAAUACCCCGCUGUUCUGACGGUACCCAAAGAAUAAGCACCGGCUAACUUCGUG
rnacentral:rRNA from 1 species